CCCCACUCUUAUGAUAAAGAUGGAAACUGUCAUCCGUCCUGCUCUGUCCUCAACUCUCAUCUCCCUGGCCUCUGGGUGCUUGUGGUGGUGGUGGCUGGUGGGGGGUGGACAGAGUGCUUCUUCACAGGGAGUCUGGUGCCCAAACUUCCCUCCGGCCCCCUGCUGGCCCAGCCUCACUCCGGGGGGGGGGGCGGGGAUUCUCUUCCUCCAACACACUGGGUUCUCAGGCCUGGGGGUCUCCUUCCUCAGGGACACUCACUCAGCUGUAGGCGGGGUUCUGUGGUUACCUGGUUACCAUCUGUCUCCCCUGGGGGACGGUGGGCCCCAUGGCCAAGGAACCCCGUCACGGAGCGAAUGCUCUACAGAAAAGCUUCAAGUUUCGGGAGUAUUCUCAACUGGUCCUGAGUCAACUGCUCUCCCUCAACCUUAAUCCUUGGAUUAACCUUCCAGAACACACAAGAGAUGAGCCUGCUUCUUCUAGGAUGGCCACAGUACCUCUGACUUUGGAACAAGCAAUUCAGACUCACCACGUUGUGGUUCGCUCGUGUGUCUUCUCUGCCCGGGGGUUAGAUGAUGCAGUUCCCGGGCGAGCAAAGGAGGAUUCGAGUGGAAGGGAAAGCAGGGGACGCUGGAGGAUGGGAGGUUGCGGUCAGAGCGGGAUGCCCAGCACGAUCUCUGAGUCUGAGCAGCUCUGGGCAAAGCCCAGAGGAGGCCAGGACAGCAAGGCGAUAUUGGACCAACUACGUGGACCAGGAAUGAGACCGUAGCAUCACCUUGAUGAAAAGGACGAAGAAAUGUUGAAACUCCCAAAGAAGCAAUUAAAUGGCAGAUUUCUUUUUCUUUAGUUCAAAGUUAUGAUAAGCAACAAUAGCAUCAUCCACUAAAUAACAUAUUCAUUAUAAACGUAACAUUUUCCAUACAGAAACCUGGAACCAUGAAUGAGAAGACGUAGAAAAAGAAGAAUAAAACUCACAGAGGGAUGAGAUCA
rnacentral:lncRNA from 1 species